UCCCUUGGGCUCACAUGAUCAUGUUCCACACCAUCCUGAAGCGGUUCAGACACCGUGGGGUUCUCCAACACCUCCCGUAAUGUCUGAUGAGACCUUCCCACUUCAACGAGUUGCACGUCAUCGUGCGCUACAGGGGAAACAGCCUUCUCCAACACAGGCAUAGUUAUAGCUAAAUCAUCAGUCGAAAGACAUUCAAUACGGUCAAAAACAUUAUGCAGCGGCAAACUGAACAAGUUUGAU
rnacentral:lncRNA from 1 species